UAAAUGUAUAACAUUGAAAAGAUAGAAAUAAUUAUUGUUCUAUGACCUCAUUACUGACUAAUGCAAAAUAAAUUAGACAUGGCAUAUCCAGGUAUUACAAAUUACAGAUUAAGAACCACAAGAAUAACAGGAAACAUUGAGAAAGUUCAGUGAGAUGCUAAACAACAUAUUUACUCUAUCAUAUAACUGUUUUUAAAAGGUAGAAAAUUUUAAAACUGAAAGAAAAAUGUGCCAAAAUAUUAAAAGUGAUUUUUUUUGGAUAGGAGGAUUAUCGAUAAUGAUCUUUUGGUCAACCACUUUUUAAGUGUUUUCUGUAACACAAAAGUAUUAUUUUUUAAGUUGGAAAAAUAAAAUAAACUUAGCUAUUCUUAAAAAUGAAAUGCCUUCAGGAAAAAUGUAAAUUUGAAAGAAAACAUUAUUGAGAUUACAUUGGAUCUAACAUAUUCUUAAAAUUUUUGCUUCCUAUCAGGUUUUAACUUUCCAGAUUGAUAGAAUAGAGAAUUGCUGAGAGGCUCAGUAUGAUAGACCAGGGGAUCUGGGCAAAAUCCACAAACAGUACAGCCAAUUUACCAUCAUAUAAGUCAUCUAAAUGACUCUGGCCAAUACUAAAGGAGCCAGUGUUCAACUACCAGAAUGUUUGGUAAAUUAGGCAGUAUUCAAUUAUUUUAAAAUGAUUUCCAGAAGCAUAUUCUUAAAAUCAAUGUUAAACCUUUCUGAUCUCCAUUUUAGUUAAAACUUUAAGAAAUUUUUGAGAAUACUUCCUGAAUUUCAAGCGUACUCUUCCAAACAAGAAAUUGUGCUUACGAUUAUUUUUUUCUCCUGGAAGAAACAUGUGUGAUACAUUAAGAUAAAGACAAGUGUCAUAGGAUGACUAGAGGAAUAUUUGGCCUUUCAAAGUCAGACCUCUGAGUUCUCAUCAAAGUCACCAAGUCACAAUUAUGGGAUCUCAAUAGGUUUGGGGCUUUAUACCUCCAACUAUGAUCUCAGAAUAACAACGGUGCCAAUGAAGACAAUUUGUAAGCUGUAAACUCAACAAAACAAGCAAGGAGAGAAGAUAUUUCCUAUAACUACCCAAGUUGACUCACCAUCCAACCAGAUGACUUUUUCACAUGCUUCUUUUCUCUGAUAACAUGAUCAAUGUACAGGAUUUAAGAAGCACACGGGAAAAGCUUAGUGCUUUGGAAUUCCUAGUGGUCACCUAGUUAGUCCAUACAAUGGUUAUCAGAAAUGGCAUUUACAGUUGACAAGGAUAAGAUUUGUAUAACUUAAAUGAUCAGUUUUGUUCUGGCUGUCCUCCAUAUCAAAAAUAUUUGUAUACUAAAAAUACCCCUCAUUGGAUGAUUUCAUUUUUGUUUGGCAAAUCACUACUUCAGUCUCAGUAUUCAGUAGAAGAGAGAAAUUAUAUUUGAUCAAUCCAUGCAGCAAGAUUAAAUGAGUUACAACUGAUUUUAUUUUUGUUCACUACACAGUGUAUUUCAAUCGUAUGAACGAAAAAUCAACUUAAAGUCUUCAAGUAACAUGAAUGAUGGAUCUUUAAAUGGAUCAAACAUAACUUUAACAGAAUUGUAGAAAUAAUCUAAACACAGAGCUAUUAUUGAAAAAUAGGUACUCCUUAUUUAGUUCAAAGUGUCUAUAUAGAAGCAUUAAAAAAAAAAAGGGGAGAAAUCCUUAAAAUAUCGAUUCUGUUAUCAUGAGAUGGGAGAGGUGAAAAUUAUUUCUAUUCUCUGUAGAUAGCUAACUUGUUUUGGGGGUAUAUGUACAUUAUGUCAUUUGAUCUUCAAAAUGUAACAUCCUGAAGAAACACAAGCUGUUAUUAACAGGAAACAGGCUCACUAAGGUUAAGUAACUUGGCCACAGUCUUAUCACCCUGGGUGUUCUGAUGCCAGAGCUUUCACUGUCAGCCAUUGCUGUCUUCCCCAAAAUAAGACAACUGGCAAAAUACCACUGUUAAAAACAAGCACAAAGGGUGAAUUCAUAAGUAAGUUAAGAUUUGAAGAAAACAGAGUGACUCCUUUCUCAAUGAUUGCCAUUACACAAUUCGGAUGGGAGGUAUAUACGUAGGAAAGAAAAUUUAGGGGAGGAAUCGACAGGACUUCAGGGACAAGAAAAGAACAAAUGCAAAGUUUGGCACAUAUACUCAAAACUGGAACACAGAAAAGAAAGGAAGACCUAACGGAGGCCACCCCACCUUUUGUGCGUGUAAUAGUAAUCCCUUUUAAGGCAAGGAUUGUUUUUCCUCGCCCUCAAAAUCCUAACCCAAGUGGGGUGCCCAGAUAUGCAGGGUCUUAGAAACUAUUAAUAAAGAAGGAUGCCCAGGAAUCUUUUCCAGUACUUUAA